rnacentral:rRNA from 2 species
CAGGUUGACCUCGGAUCAGGUAGGGAUACCCGCUGAACUUAAGCAUAUCAAUAAGCGGAGGAA